AGCAGCACGACAUGGUUUGUAGGGACAAGGAGAUACAGACCGUUCUGGGCUGCCUC
rnacentral:miRNA from 1 species